rnacentral:rRNA from 1 species
AGUCACUGACAUUAGACUACCCUGUACGUCCCAGCUGUAAACUAUGUNCGUUAGGUGUGUCAGUGACCACGUGUCACUGAGGUGCCGAAGGGAAACCGUGGAACGCACCGCCGUGGGAGUACGGUCGCAAGGCUGAAACUUAAAGGAAUUGCGGGGAGCACCACAACGGGUGGAGCCUGCGGUUUAAUCGGACUCAACGCCGGGAAUCUCACCGGAUAAGACAGCUGAAUGAUAGUCGGGAUGAAGACUCUACUUGACUAGCUG